AACGAACGCUGGCGGCAUGCCUAACACAUGCAAGUCGGACGAGACCUUCGGGUCUAGUGGCGCACGGGUGCGUAACGCGUGGGAAUCUGCCCUUGGGUUCGGAAUAACAGUUAGAAAUGACUGCUAAUACCGGAUGAUGACGUAAGUCCAAAGAUUUAUCGCCCAAGGAUGAGCCCGCGUAGGAUUAGCUUGUUGGUGAGGUAAAGGCUCACCAAGGCGACGAUCCUUAGCUGGUCUGAGAGGAUGAUCAGCCACACUGGGACUGAGACACGGCCCAGACUCCUACGGAAGGCAGCAGUGGGGAAUAUUGGACAAUGGGCGAAAGCCUGAUCCAGCAAUGCCGCGUGAGUGAUGAAGGCCUUAGGGUUGUAAAGCUCUUUUACCCGGGAUGAUAAUGACAGUACCGGGAGAAUAAGCCCCGGCUAACUCCGUGCCAGCCGCCGCUGUAA
rnacentral:rRNA from 1 species